GGCGAACGCUGGCGGCGUGCUUAACACAUGCAAGUCGAACGGAAAGGCCCUGCUUUUGUGGGGUGCUCGAGUGGCGAACGGGUGAGUAACACGUGAGUAACCUGCCCUUGACUUUGGGAUAACUUCAGGAAACUGGGGCUAAUACCGGAUAGGAGCUCCUGCUGCAUGGUGGGGGUUGGAAAGUUUCGGCGGUUGGGGAUGGACUCGCGGCUUAUCAGCUUGUUAGUGGGGUAGUGGCUUACCAAGGCUUUGACGGGUAGCCGGCCUGAGAGGGUGACCGGCCACAUUGGGACUGAGAUACGGCCCAGACUCCUACGGGAGGCAGCAGUGGGGAAUAUUGCACAAUGGGCGGAAGCCUGAUGCAGCAACGCCGCGUGCGGGAUGACGGCCUUCGGGUUGUAAACCGCUUUCGCCUGUGACGAAGCGUGAGUGACGGUAAUGGGUAAAGAAGCACCGGCUAACUACGUGCCAGCAGCCGCGGUGAUACGUAGGGUGCGAGCGUUGUCCGGAUUUAUUGGGCGUAAAGGGCUCGUAGGUGGUUGAUCGCGUCGGAAGUGUAAUCUUGGGGCUUAACCCUGAGCGUGCUUUCGAUACGGGUUGACUUGAGGAAGGUAGGGGAGAAUGGAAUUCCUGGUGGAGCGGUGGAAUGCGCAGAUAUCAGGAGGAACACCAGUGGCGAAGGCGGUUCUCUGGGCCUUUCCUGACGCUGAGGAGCGAAAGCGUGGGGAGCGAACAGGCUUAGAUACCCUGGUAGUCCACGCUGUAAACGGUGGGUACUAGGUGUGGGGUCCAUUCCACGGGUUCCGUGCCGUAGCUAACGCUUUAAGUACCCCGCCUGGGGAGUACGGCCGCAAGGCUAAAACUCAAAGGAAUUGACGGGGCCCCGCACAAGCGGCGGAGCAUGCGGAUUAAUUCGAUGCAACGCGUAGAACCUUACCUGGGUUUGACAUGGAUCGGGAGUGCUCAGAGAUGGGUGUGCCUCUUUUGGGGUCGGUUCACAGGUGGUGCAUGGCUGUCGUCAGCUCGUGUCGUGAGAUGUUGGGUUAAGUCCCGCAACGAGCGCAACCCUUGUUCACUGUUGCCAGCACGUUAUGGUGGGGACUCAGUGGAGACCGCCGGGGUCAACUCGGAGGAAGGUGGGGAUGACGUCAAGUCAUCAUGCCCCUUAUGUCCAGGGCUUCACGCAUGCUACAAUGGCUGGUACAGAGAGUGGCGAGCCUGUGAGGGUGAGCGAAUCUCGGAAAGCCGGUCUCAGUUCGGAUUGGGGUCUGCAACUCGACCUCAUGAAGUCGGAGUCGCUAGUAAUCGCAGAUCAGCAACGCUGCGGUGAAUACGUUCCCGGG
rnacentral:rRNA from 1 species